AGGAAUAUCACAAGAGAACAGUGAUCUAAAAUUAUAGUAUAGCCAUGUGUAAUAGUUACAAAAGGAAAGAUUAAGCUCCAGCUUUCAUUAGCAAGAACUCUAUCAAGUCGAGGCCUAUGAUUAGCGUCCCUCAAUCUGUGGUUGUCCAGGUAAAUGAAUUUUUUGUGGGAACCAAGGUCCAUUAAACUAGAAGCAUUUAUGAAGUGCAUAAGUUUGCUCUUGGAAGGUUCCUCUUUGGUAGAAGGUUUGUUCAUUUUAUAUGCAAGAAUUACCAAAUUGAAAUAACCUGUAAUCAACCACAACAAUUAAAUAGUGUUUCUCGAUUUUUCCAGCUCGUUCCAAAACGUCUGCUUUUUGGCAUCGUAAUUGUCGUUGUUGAGCAGCUUACAUAUGGUUCAGCUGCGUGCAAUUUUUUAGGUAGUGGAGCCAGCAAUAGCGAUGGUCUCUCCAGCAAGCCACGUUUAGUGUGAUCUGACCUAUUGGAAUUUUGCAUAAAAACAUUAUUAUGAUUGUUUUUUGAGAGAGGUGAUAGACCUCUACUGUAACAGCCCCGAAAAUUCAAAAUGAAAUGUAUAUUAAAAAUAUCAAACGCGGAAACGAAGUCAAAAAUUCGAUUAACAUCCCUUACACUAAAAUAAAAAAAAACGUGCGCGCCACGUCAGCAGACCCAGUCAGCAGUCCUGGCCAACCAGGACCUGCCACGUGGCAAAACCACGUCGACCGGGGACGGGCCACGUUGGCGAUCCGCGUGCGCGCGAUCGGACGGCCCAGAUCAAUCGCGCGCACGGACGACCCAGAUUUAAUCGCACGGACGGUCCAGAUUAAAUCAAAAUGGACGGCUGAGAUCAAAAGGCAAAAGGGUAUAAAUAAGACCCCCACACCAGACCCCAAACCCUAGCCGCCUGCCCUCGCC
rnacentral:lncRNA from 1 species